UUGCGUAGUGAAAGUAAUUUUUCUUCAAUCAACAAUCUAGGAAAGUUGACGAUUGUGUGUUCAAGUUGUUUGACGUUCUUUUUUCUGUAAAUGAUACAUUUAUACGGCAAGUUACAUAAGAAAAUAUAAACUGUCCGUAAUUGAGUCAAAAUAAGAAACGAUAUCAUCGAACAACGAUGAAGCAACAGAUAAUUGACUCCAAGGCGAACCCUAGCUCAACCGGGGAAGCGGACGACUGUCUCUUCGAAUAUUUGCAUGCCGAGUUGGUUAAUUAUGUUUUAAGCAGAUCGUCUAAUACUGCAGAAGGUGAGGAGGAACUUUCGCGUUUAGAAUACAUGGGAUUCAGCGUUGGAUAUAGAAUUAUUGAACGAUUGACACGAGAAUGGAGCAGGUUCAAGGAUGAAUUGGAUAUGAUCAAGUUUAUCUGUACAGACUUCUGGUCUAGUCUGUAUCACAAACAAAUCGAUAAUCUCAGAACUAACCAUCACGGAGUGUAUGUAUUGCAAGACAAUGCCUUUAGAUUGCUGGAUAAAGUUGGUACAAGCAAUAGUAAACAGUAUCUCAAGGAGAGCCCUCGUCUAUUGGCUUUUACUUGUGGUCUUCUACGUGGUAGUUUAGCAAAUCUUGGUAUUAUUAGCACUGUUACAGCAGAGACUACUACAUUACCAAGCUGCAAGUUUCAUGUUCAAGUUCAAAAAAUUUAAUAGCCAUUCUGAGCGACUCAAGAAAUAAGAAGAUAUAAAACUGUGAAAAGAAAUUCGAUGGAGGCGGCAUAUUCAUCUAGUGCCAGUGCCACUGAUCGAACUACUGCAAGUAGGUAACCUAAUCAAUAGGAUCUGUCUUCUUAAGAGAAAAUUAAUCGCGCUAAUUCCGACUUCUCCCACCAGGUAGCGUAGUGACACAUUGAAUUUCUCGAUAAUUUCCAUAUAUUUAUACUAAUAUAAAAUUAUAGUAUCAAAUAUAAUAUUUAAAAAAACA